CCUCCUCCUCCACCGCCCCUCCUACGCCGCCACCGUCGCCGAGCGCUUCCUGACCUCGCUGGGAGCAGACAGCAGGACCCCACCGCCGUGCCUCCCUCUCUCCUUUCUCCUCUUUCCUCUCUCUCUCUCUCUCUCUCUCUCUCUCUCUCUCUCUCUCUCGUCUCUGAACUACGUGUCGUUCCUCUCUGCAGGUGCCUUCAUGGCCGCGUCAUGGAUCUCCCCGCCGUGGGCUGCUUGCUCCUCCUCGGACGGCCUGCCUCGCCCACGUCCAGGUCUAACUCGUGGGACGAUGACGAUGCUGCCACCAUCGCGAAUCUCUACGGCAGGCUAUGACCGUGGCCGUGGCGCGAGGAGCGACGAGCUCCGCAAGGGCAUGCCCUGGAGCGAGGAGGAGCACAGGGACCCGUGUUAUAUUGUCAUGCGCCAGAUUCAACUGUUUGCAUCGAAGUUGUUUGGAUUCACCAGGAGGAAGCGGCAGCCAAAGUUACACAUCCAGCCAUGACGACUACAUGUAAUUGUUUGUACAUAAGCCUCAGCUCAAGAUAAGGUUGUGCUUUACGAUCCUAAUGAGGGAUUCGACAAGAAAUAUUUUCCAAUCGGGAGAGGUUUCGUAUCAGUUAUAUGAGAAGUGCAAUAUUUGUUGGAUGCUAUGGUGGUGAUGUUGGUCGGGGGCUCCGAUGCGGAGGCCCGCAAGGGGGAAACGGAAGGUGGCGGAGAAAGGAAGGUCAUGGCCGGGAAGCAAGUUAGGCGCCACCGUAUGGACAGGAAAGAGGGCGCUCGGAGGUACCUAGGAAAUCGGGAGGGGCUGAGCAAGACGGCCAAGGGUGUCGCCAAGGUUUUCGGCGUCUAGCCGUCCACUCCUUGAGGAGAUUGGAUGACUAUUGUAAUAUGAGUGUUGACAAGCUGAAGAAGAUGGCCGGUGCCCUGUGUCGGAGGCAAGGGCAGCGUGCACAUGUGCUUUCUAUGGUACCCUGUCAUCCAUAGGAAAAAGAAGGAAGUGCAUAAUACUACGAUCACUGAUGAUAAGAGACUUCAAAGCACUUUGAAAAGAGUAGGAGACAACACCAUUCCUGGUAUUGAAGAGGCAACAUUUACAAGUGCAAGCUUCAGCUCACACGCUAACCUCCCAAACGACCACUUCUCCGUCAGUCGACGUGAAGACAUGGGCCGCGCCAGUGUGGUGCAAGUCCUCCAGUUUACCUGGCGGCGCGACACUAAGUGCCCUCAUGGCAGAACUUAGGAUGCACGACGAUCAUGGGAUAUAAGAAGAAAUAGUGGAUUUGACUGUCAUCAGGGAUGGGACCUCAAGCUCGUAGGCAUAAAAAAUUCUUUGUAGUAUAACACCCAAGUGAUUAACCUGUCAUAAUCAAGCUUAGAAAAGAGAGCACUACCCAGUAGUUGGUUAUGCAGCAGGAGAUGAUAUGACUUCAGUUCUUCUUCACAUCACAUAAACAUAAAAAUUUCUUUCUUUAACCAGUAAGGAUUAUUAAUUGUUGCCAAUGACUUUUAUCUCCCUAUACAUCACCUAUCACUAUAUUAUGAUGAUUUGAGACAUAAUGGGGUACAUAUAUUCUUAUGAUUCAUCUAGCAGUGUGUGAUUUCUUGACAUUUUCCCAGCAAUUUCACUUCGGUUUUCUUCUUUGCUUUUAGGUAUUUGUGUUAUUAUCAGAACUACAUAUGACAGAAUAUAAUUUGGCAUUUUCAAUGCUAGCACAUGGAGCGGCAAGAGGGAGGAGAGGACCUAUGGUGGCCAGGUAACUCGAGGAUGGAGGGGAAUUGGUGUAGAAUAAGCCUGCACUCUUCAAGAAAAUACAUAGGAUAAUUAUGAAACAAGAUGAACAAACAGCUAAGCCAGUUGAGGAGCGAUCUCCAGCAGCUCCCCGGUCGCCAGUGGUCUCAAAGAUUGUCUGCUGAAAGAUGAACAAGUGAUCAUGUUCUAGCAUUGUUGAAAGCAGUAGUGAAUGUUGAUGUAUGUACAUUUUUCGUUCAGUGUAUUGGAAGUGCAAAUUUGUAUAUACUUUAAUGACAUUAUUUACUGGAUUUUAACAUAUCUGAUAUAUUGGAUUUUA